UGGGGAAUAUUGCACAAUGGGCGCAUGCCUGAUGCAGCCAUGCCGCGUGUAUGAAGAAGGCCUUCGGGUUGUAAAGUACUUUCAGCGGGGAGGAAGGGAGUAAAGUUAAUACCUUUGCUCAUUGACGUUACCCGCAGAAGAAGCACCGGCUAACUCCGUGCCAGCAGCCGCGGUAAUACGGAGGGUGCAAGCGUUAAUCGGAAUUACUGGGCGUAAAGCGCACGCAGGCGGUUUGUUAAGUCAGAUGUGAAAUCCCCGGGCUCAACCUGGGAACUGCAUCUGAUACUGGCAAGCUUGAGUCUCGUAGAGGGGGGUAGAAUUCCAGGUGUGGCGGUGAAAUGCGUAGAGAUCUGGAGGAAUACCGGUGGCGAAGGCGGCCCCCUGGACGAAGACUGACGCUCAGGUGCGAAAGCGUGGGGAGCAAACAGG
rnacentral:rRNA from 1 species